AGGGCACGGUGUCCAGCUGGGUCUAUUCGAGUCCUGCCCUGGAAUUUCUGAGUUGGAAAUUGGAGGAACAACUCACUCUCUUGCCUCGGGGCCCACGGUGCUGGAAGGAUGUGAGGUUAGAUGACUGUGGCCAUCUUUCUCAGCAAAUGGAGAAGACUUGUUAGUGGCAGAGAGGAGAGCCCUGAGGAAGUAAAAGAUAAAACCAUGGCAACGUAUCAACCAAGGAAUUCCUGUAGGAAGGAGAAGUCUGCCAACCACAGAGCCUGAGGGUUCAGUCCUGAGAAGACAGCCAGAGAGGGUCCAUGUUCCCCUGCACAUGGAGU